rnacentral:rRNA from 1 species
AGUCAUAUGCUUGUCUCAAAGGUUAAGCCAUGCAUGUCCAAGUCUAAGCUUCUAUAUGGCGAAACUGCGAAUGGCUCAUUAAAACAGUUAUAGUUUACUUGACGGUCACUCACCAUUUGGAUACCUGUGGUAAUUCUAGAGCUAAUACAUGCGCAAAGACCUAACUUCUUGGGCGGGUCGUGCUUAUUAGAUACAGAACCAACCCAGUUUAAACUGGCUUCGGUGGUUGAUUCAUGGUAGUUUUCUUUGAAUCGUGUGGCCCCGGCUGGCGAUGGCGCUUUCAAGUUUCUGACCUAUCAGCUGUGGACGGUAGGGUAUUGGCCUACCGUGGCGUUGACGGGUAACGGAGAAUUAGGGUUCGAUUCCGGAGAGGGAGCCUGAGAAACGGCUACUACAUCUAAGGAAGGCAGCAGGCGCGCAAAUUACCCAAUCCUGGCACAGGGAGGUAGUGACAAGAAAUGACAAUGCAGGGCAGUAUCGUCUUGUAAUUGGAAUGAGUGCAAUUUAUACCCCUUUACGAGUAUCAAUU